UCCCAAGGUGUUAUCGAUAGGACAGAUGAU
rnacentral:piRNA from 1 species